GCCCCAUUUAACGAAAUUUAUCAAAAUUCUCUAUCUAUGAUGCAUUAAUAAGCAUAAAAAAUGCAUAAAAUAAAUAUAGAUUUCACUAUUAAUAUCUUUUUUUACCCUCUUUUUAAGAGAAAACUAUAAGAAUUUACUAGAAUAAAUCUAAAUUUUGGGCAUUCAAAAACAAACACCAGAUUUUUUAUAUUCACAAACAAACCCAAAUAAAAUUGUUGGUGUUAUUAGAAAAAAUGAGAAAAAAAAACAAUUUUAGAUAACCUAGAAAUUGUGUCACUAAAUAGCAUGUCAGUGUUUCUUUAUGUGUGUGUGUGUGUGUAUAAACACAGGCAAAUAAUCAAGAAAUAGAUGACCCAAAUAGCAUGUUAGUGUCUUUUUUUGGGGGGCAAAAAGGGAACAACCCUCUAAUUUGGGUAGUAGCAGCCACUUCUAAUUUGGACAUCAGCCAACAAAGGACCAAGGGACACAUGGGAAAAACAAAUUGAAAACGUAAUAGUAGAAGCUCAAACACGAAAGUGUUGGGAUCAGGUCUAAGCUAAAGCGGAAAGAAAAAUUUUGACUCAGAAAAAUUCAAGUGAGUGGAGAUAGAGAAAGGAGAGAAGGAAAGCACCUGAAGAAGAGGAAAGAAAGAGAAAGAGAAAUUUAAAUAAUCUGGUUUGAUUUUGAAACCCACCAGCAGCAAUCGAUCUCCUGUUCUUCUAAAUCUUUUUUUUUAAUUAUUUUUUUUUUAUUUUUUCCUUUGGACAGCCAACAAUGAAAGAGGAAAAACUUUUGUUUCUUUUGAGCUCUCUUAUUAUGGUUUGAUUUGGUGUGGGUGAGAGCACAUAAAAUUGCAUAAAAAAAUUAAGAAGGAUGAAAAUUUAGCUGAGGCGCACCUUUGGUGCUCCUUGUGCCCGCUACAAGGUGAGCGUUUUAGGCAAGGAGGCAUGAGCCUGGGUGAUGUUGCCCUGCCUUUUGCCAUCAGAGCCACUGAGGGCUAUGCCUGGUGUGCCUUUUGCCUUAGGAAUGCCUUUAACAUUAGUGAUAUUGUUUCAUCACUGGAGUUGACCAUAAUCUUGCCUGAAUCAUUUAGAAUUCAAGAUUGGUUCUAAAUUUAAGAAUUUUACAUGUCUGUCAGUAAAGCUGCUUUAGAGGUUUUGAUCAAUUUCAAUUUUAUUUUAAAUAAAGGUUUCAUUUGCUAAUCAGAAUGAAAUGUGUGACCACUGCUGGGAUUUAAACAAUUGCAGAUAAAGCAUUAUAAUGGAGAUAUGCCUUUGUUCAAUAUUGGUUUUGAACUUCUGAUAGUAGUUAGACUUUGUUUCAUUUUAGGUGACUUUUCAUGCACAUUAGAAGUUCAGAGAGCAAUACCCAUUUUAAAGAAAGCAUAUGGCGACAGCAUGCACAAAGUUUUGCAUGUGGGCCCUGAUACAUGUUCAGUGGUCUCUCAACUGUUGAAAGAAGAAGAAACUGAAGUUUGGGGUGUUGAACCAUAUGAUAUAGAGGAUGCAGAUGCAAAAUGCAAGAGUGCUAUUCGCAAGGGCAUUGUCCGUGUAGCUGAUAUUAAGUUCCCUCUGCCCUACAGGGCCAAUUCAUUUUCUCUUGUUAUUGUGUCAGACGCACUUGAUUACCUGUCUCCAAAAUACCUGAACAGGACUCUGCCAGAAUUGGCGAGGGUGGCUUCUGAUGGUCUUGUUAUUUUUGCAGGUAAUACCUCUAAAUUUUUAAACUACGUAUUUUUUGAUGUACUCAAAAAAAUCUUCUAAACUAUCUAAUACUACAUAAUUAGUAAAUUUUAAUGAUGUAACAAUAUUACCCCUCUUCUUAUCUCAUCUAUGCAUACGCACAAACACACUCCCAUCAUAGCAGUGACUUGUUUUGGUUCAAGCAGCACAUUGUUUUGGUUCAAGCAGCACACAGGUACCAUCAUAGGAGUAACUGAUUGUUUUUGCUUCGUUGUUAUUUACCUCUAAUUUCACCGCUUACAUCUUGUAUUUAGGUUACCCUGGUCAGCAGCGGGCUAAAGUUGCAGAGUUGUCUAAAUUUGGAAAGCCGGCCAAAAUGAGGAGCUCGUCUUGGUGGAUUCGCUUUUUUGUACAGACAAGCUUAGAUGAAAAUGAAGCUGCUUUCAAGAAGUUUGAGCAGGCUGCAUCCAAGAGGUCAUACAAACCAGCCUGUCAAGUGUUCCACUUGAACCCAUACCACUAAUCAUUAAUGUGAGAAUUUACCAAAUCAAGAUUUUUAGAGUUUUUUUUUUUAUUGGUCAUGCAACUAAGCCAAUAUAUAUAUAGAGCUGUCGUAUAAGAUCCAGAUAGAUAAUUUGGUAAAAGAGAAGUUGAUAUCACUCUGCUGUGCACUCAACAAUUUAUUGGGAAAUGUUUAUUACUUUAAUUGAUGAAACAUAUUAUAUAGUUUGUUUCUUUCAUUUCCAUGUAUUGAAAUACUUUUAUCAAAAAUAUUUAGAUGAAAA
rnacentral:misc_RNA from 1 species